rnacentral:misc_RNA from 1 species
CCCCGGCCGUGCGAGAGAGACGGCGCGACUGAUAAGGGCCGCGCUGUGCAUACGGUUAUCUCAGCUCAUUUCGGACGGCGGCCCAUGCAAAGUGUCCUCAGUCAUGGCUGAGCUGUAGUGGAAGGCGCCACACCGUCAGGACCAGGAUCCAAGUGAGCUAAGAUGGGGGACAACAACGAAAAGCCAAUUAUCUCGGUGCUUUCAUCCAGCGCAGCCAACAAUGACUUCGGUGGACCCAACACGUCCAACGGCCACGCAGCGCCCCGGAAAAAGAAGUCAGGAUGUGGAAAGUACGCCGACGCUCUCAAGGUCCUGCUGCCGUGCAGAGGGGCACCUCGCAACAAGAAGAAAAUGCCGGCGAACAAGGCAGGCCUCUUCUCCUUCAUCACCAUCAACUGGCUCUCCAGGAUGAUGUGGAAGGCCUUCACCACGGGACUCACACAAGAAGACUUCUUCGACCUUGAUGAUGCCGACGACGCUGCGGAGAGCGCCCGCCGCCUGGAGAGCAUCUGGGGCCGUCGCGUGGGCAAGCAAGGGGCUGCGACUUCCCUGGCCAAGGCAGUGUGGCGCUUCUGCAGGACCAGAUCCCUCAUCGCCAUGGUCCUCAUGGCCAUCUCCAUCGUGCUGCAGUUCACCGGACCGGCGUUCCUGCAAAAGAUGCUGCUCGCCUUCAUCGAGGACCUCAACCAGCCCCUGUGGCAGGGCCUGCUCAUCGUGCUCGGUCUCUUCCUCUCGCAGCUCCUCCGGAACUUGUUCUUCGGCAUGGCCUACGUCAUCAACAUGCACACUGCAACGCGUUUGCAGGGUGGCCUGCAGCACCUGGUGUACAACAAGGUGCUGCGGCUGCGUGCCAGCGACGACAAGGCUCUGGGACAGGUGGUCACCUUCUGCUCGAGCGAGCAGGAACGUAUGUUCGACGCCAUCCACAUGAGCAGCAUCACCGUAGGUUCACCCGUCAUGUUCGCGCUGGCCGUGGGCUACUCCGUGUGGCUCAUGGGCGCAUACGCCCUCAUCGGUAACGCCAUCAUCCUCCUCUUCUACCCGAUCAUGGGUGUGGUGGCCGCUGUGACGAGCUACGUGCGUACGCGCACCGUUCAACUGACCGACAAGCGCAUCAACAUCAUGAGCGAGAUCCUCAACAACAUCAAGCUCAUCAAGAUGUACGCGUGGGAGGAGAGCUUCGCCGACAACGUGAAAGGCGUUCGUGAAAAGGAGCGCGUGCAGCUGCAGCGGGCCGCCUUCUUGCAGUCCUUCAGCAGCACCAUCUCGCCGUCUAUCACCAUCCUGGCCGCCGUCGCCACCUUCAUCUGCUACUCCCUUGCUGGUUACGAGCUGGAGUCCGGAACGGUGUUCACAGUCUACUCCGUGUUCAACGCUCUCCAGUUCACCGUGGCCACCCUCCCCUACGGCAUCAAGUGCAUCACCGAGGCCCGCGUUUCCUUCCAGAAGAUGGAGAAAUUCCUGAUGAAGCCCGACAUGGACACUCACUCCGGCCAACACGUCCCCAAGUACGACUCGGGCAACACGGCCAUCCUCAUGAACAGCGCCAACUUCGUUUGGGACGACCCGGCCGAGGGCAUCGCCAACUCAGCCUUCGAGGACAACAACGUGAACGAGGACGCCGGCAGCGAGAGCCUGCGUAACAUCAACCUGACGAUUCAGAAGGGCAAACUCAUCGGCGUCUGCGGCUCCGUCGGCUCCGGGAAGACGUCCCUGCUCUCCGCCAUCACCGGAGACAUGGUUUGCGUGCGCGGCGACAUGGACGUGAACGGCAGCGUGGCCAUCGUGACGCAGCAGGCCUGGAUCUUCAACGAGACGCUCCGCGAGAACAUCAUCUUCGGCCUGCCCUUCGACGAGCGCCGCUACCGCGACACUGUGGAGGUGUGCUCGCUACAGCGCGAUCUGGAGCUGCUGCCCAUGGCCGACAUGACCGAGAUCGGCGAGCGCGGUUCCAACCUCAGUGGUGGGCAGAAGCAGCGUGUCAACCUGGCCCGCUCCGUGUACGCCAACAAGGACAUCUACCUGCUGGACGACCCGCUGAGCGCCGUGGACGCGCGCGUCGCCAAGCACAUCUUCAACAAGUGCAUCAAGGGCAAGCUGAGUGGCAAGACCGUCCUGCUAGUCACGCAUGGUAUUCAGUUCCUGGAGGAGUGCGACGAGAUCCUGUACAUGAAGAACGGCGUCAUCUCGGAGCGCGGCACGCACGCCGAGCUCAAGGCCCUGGAGGGCGACUACGCGCACAUGCUGUCCUACGACCAGAACCGCGACAAGGAGAAGGACAAGAAGGACGAGGAGGUCAACGUGGCCGACCUGGACGAGGAGCCGCCCGUCGACGUCGCCGGAGGCACCCUGACCGCGGCGGAGGCCCACAGGGCCAUGGGUGCCAAGGCCUACAUCGAGUACUUCCGGUUCUGCGGCGGCGUCUGCAUCAUGGCCAUGCUCUUCAUCCUCAUCCUCGCCUUCGUCCUCUCGCAGCUCUUCGCCGGACUGUGGCUGCAGAUCUGGCUCGACAUGGGCGACGGCAACGGAGGCACGAGCGUUCUGAAGAACCCCAACCUCCAGCUGUACCAGAUCAUCUACGGCAUCUCCUUCUUCCUCAUGAUGAUCACCGGCAGCAUCAAGGGCUUCGGCUUCGCGCGGCAGCUGGUGCUGGCCUCGUCCAGGAUGCACGACACCAUGUUCAGGAAGGUGAUGCGCUGCCCCGUGGCCUUCUUCGACGUGACCCCCGUCGGCCGCAUCCUGCAGCGCUUCUCCAAGGACAUGGACGAGCUGGACGUGAGGAUCCCCUACUACCUGGAGUACGUCGCGCAGGGCAUGCUCACCUGCGUCGGCCAGAUGCUCAUGGUGUGCGUCAUGUACCCCGUCUUCUCCGCCGUGCUGGCCGUCGCCGUCGUCAUCUUCGGCUUCCUCGAGGUGUGGCUGAACCGCGGCCUGCAGCAGAACAAGAGUCUGGACAGCAUCCGCAAGGCGCCCGUGCUGACGCACCUGUCCUCCACCAUGUCGGGCCUGAGCGUGAUCCGCACGUACGGGCGGCAGGACGUGCAGCUGCAGCGCUUCCGCCGGCGCCUCAACCACUCGCUGGCGUCCGACCUCAUCUACCGGUCCUCCGUGCGCUGGUUCACGUUCCGCAUGGACAUGAUCUGCGUGACGCUCGUGGUGCUCACGGCGCUCGUGUGCGUGCUGCUCAAGGGCGACGCGUCCUCGGCCAAGAGCGGCCUGGCGCUCAGCAGCGUGUUCGCCGUGUGCAACGUGAUCCCCUUCGUGAUGCAGAUGGCCUCCGAGCUGCAGGCCCGCUUCACCUCCGUGGAGCGCGUGCUCGAGUACACGUCCGGGCUGACGGAGGAGGCGCCCCGGCGCAUCGCCAAGAGCCCCAAGCCCGACAAGUGGCCCGUCAAGGGCGACGUGCUCAUGGAGGAGGUGGAGCUGCGGUACCGCGAGGGGCUGCCCCUCGUGCUGCAGAAGGUCAACGCCAACAUCAUCGGCGGGGAGAAGAUCGGCGUGGUGGGUCGCACUGGCGCCGGCAAGUCUUCGCUCAUCAACACGCUGCUGCGCUUCCAAGAGCUGGCGGGCGGCCGCAUCCUCAUCGACGACGUGGACAUCGCCAAGAUCGGCCUGCACGACCUGCGCUCCUCCAUCGCCAUCAUCCCGCAGGACCCCGUGCUGUUCGAGGGCACCAUGAGGUUCAACCUCGACCCCUUCGAGGACUUCUCCGACGAGCGCAUCUGGGAGGCCCUGGAGAAGUCGCACAUCAAGGACAAGGUGUCCCGAGAGGAGAAGCAGCUGCUGACCCCCAUCACUGGGGGCGGCCAGAACCUGUCCGUCGGCGAGAAGCAGCUCAUCUGCCUCGCCAGGGCUGUCCUCAGGAGAAAUAAGAUCCUCCUCCUGGACGAGGCCACGGCCUCCGUGGACGUGGAGACGGACUUCCUGAUCCAGCGCACCAUCCGCGAGGCCUUCCACGACUGCACCGUGCUCACCAUCGCCCACCGCCUGCACACCGUCGCCACCUACGACCGCGUCAUGGUCAUGGACGCCGGCAAGGUGAUCGAGUUCGACACUCCAACAAAUCUGCUCAACGAUACCAACUCCGUCUUCAGACAAAUGUCGGACGCCGCCGGCGGAGUCAGUGUGGAAAAUUCGUCAUGAAGGGACUGUCCUCCUUAGAUUAAUGUAUUAAUUUAUUUGUGUGAAGUACAAAGUAGCUCGGUCAUCUCCGCUCGUGUUAAACGUAUCACUAAGUCCGUCCUGUCGCCUUCACCAGAGUUUGUCUCCUUUUUGGGAAGUCAAGUGAUACGGUAUUUGAUGUUAUCGUCAGUUCCUAACAAACACAGGUCACAAAUGUAUGAUUUUGAAAUUUUAAACUAAAGAAGGCAUCGAAUUAAACUGUCGGUAGCUCAAGAUUUAAGCAAGCGGCCGAGUAGUAUUGUUUCUAGCCUAUUUCGAAACGAGUCUAAGUGCAGUGAAGCAACUAACAUUGUCCACAACAGCAUUGUCAGAUCUCAUUCAUUCAGCGAACCUGUGAUAAGUUUGUGUUUGAAAGGUCCGUAUUGGGGAUGCCACUAAGUAUUGCAUCCCAUGGAAUGUAAUGUAUAGUGAUAAAUAAAGCUAUAACCACUCACGAA